rnacentral:rRNA from 1 species
AGUGAACGCUGGCGGCGUGCCUAAUACAUGCAAGUCGAACGGAGUGGCGCACGGGUGAGUAAUGUAUAGCUAAUCUGCCCUACACUCGAGGACAACAGUUGGAAACGGCUGCUAAUACUCUAUAGUGUAGGAUGAGGCUAUAUUGUAUCAGCUAGUUGGUGAGGUAAUGGCUCACCAAGGCUAUGACGCAUAACUGGUCUGAGAGGAUGAUCAGUCACACUGGAACUGAGACACGGUCCAGACUCCUACGGGAGGCAGCAGUGAGGAAUAUUGGUCAAUGGGCGAGAGCCGGAACCAGCCAAGUCGCGUGAAGGAUGACUGCUUAUGGAUUGUAAACUUCUUUUGUAGGGGAAUAUGUACCCUACGAAUAAGCAUCGGCUAACUCCGUGCCAGCAGCCGCGGUAAUUC